AACGGCUGAACCAGCAACUUGGAGGAAUGCAUAGCGAAAACUAAUUUUACCAGGUUUAAGACUCUGGUAUAAUAUCGGUUUACCCGAAUAAAAUUCUAGGUGAGAUUAUGAUAAUGACAUUGUUUUGCUUAUGUGUCUUGACCAAAUUACGUGCCAGCAGUCGCGGUAAUACGUAAAAGACUAGUGUUAUUCAUCUUUAUUAGGUUUAAAGGGUACCUAGACAGUAAAUCAAGCCUGAAAAGGGACUAAUUUGCUAGAGUUAGGCAGGAGGGAGCUCUAAGGUACUGCUGGUGAAGAGAUGAAAUUCUUUGAUACCUUUACUCGGGAGAGUAGUAUAGGCACGGACUAAGGCGCAGGCGUCUCUUUAUGUACUAACUGACGUUGAGGGACGAAGGCAUCAUAAAACCAAGAGGAUUAGGUACCCUAGUAGUUGAUAGCAGAGAAUUAUGAGUGUCAUGGAUUUAAUAUCUUUUUAUUUAUUCCAUAAAUUAUAGUGUAAGCACUCCACCUCAAGAGUAAUUUGGCAACAUUGGAACUGAAAUCAUUAGACCGUUUCUGAAACCAGUAGUGAAGUAUGUUAUUUAAUUUGAUGAUCCACAAAGAACCUUACCAUAACAACCUAGAGUUUCCGUCCUGUCUUUAUAUUUUUUAUUAGGGAUGAUGUACUUGAAUAUUUAUAGCAAUAUAAUUACAAGCGUUGCACGGCUGUCUUCAGUUAAUGUCGUGAGAUUUUGGUUAGUUCCAUAGAAUUUGCGUAAACCCAUACUUUAUUUUAAUAUAAAGUAGUUCUCCGCUAGAUUGGAUAAGAUAACAGGGA
rnacentral:rRNA from 1 species